GGCGCAGUGCUGGAAUUGGUAUACAGACGGGUCUUAAACACCCGUGCCCAUUUGGGAUUGAGGGUUCAACUCCCUUCUGCGUCA
rnacentral:tRNA from 1 species